rnacentral:rRNA from 1 species
AUUGAACGCUGGCGGCAGGCCUAACACAUGCAAGUCGAGCGGAUGAAGGGAGCUUGCUCCUGGAUUCAGCGGCGGACGGGUGAGUAAUGCCUAGGAAUCUGCCUGGUAGUGGGGGAUAACGUCCGGAAACGGGCGCUAAUACCGCAUACGUCCUGAGGGAGAAAGUGGGGGAUCUUCGGACCUCACGCUAUCAGAUGAGCCUAGGUCGGAUUAGCUAGUUGGUGGGGUAAAGGCCUACCAAGGCGACGAUCCGUAACUGGUCUGAGAGGAUGAUCAGUCACACUGGAACUGAGACACGGUCCAGACUCCUACGGGAGGCAGCAGUGGGGAAUAUUGGACAAUGGGCGAAAGCCUGAUCCAGCCAUGCCGCGUGUGUGAAGAAGGUCUUCGGAUUGUAAAGCACUCUAAGUUGGGAGGAAGGGCAGUAAGUUAAUACCUUGCUGUUUUGACGUUACCAACAGAAUAAGCACCGGCUAACUUCGUG